ACGGGUGAGUAAAGCAUCGGAACGUACCCAGUCGUGGGGGAUAACGUAGCGAAAGUUACGCUAAUACCGCAUACGUCCUGAGGGAGAAAGCGGGGGACCGUAAGGCCUCGCGCGAUUGGAGCGGCCGAUGUCGGAUUAGCUUGUUGGUGAGGUAAAAGCUCACCAAGGCGACGAUCCGUAGCUGGUCUGAGAGGACGACCAGCCACACUGGGACUGAGACACGGCCCAGACUCCUACGGGAGGCAGCAGUGGGGAAUUUUGGACAAUGGGGGAAACCCUGAUCCAGCCAUGCCGCGUGAGUGAAGAAGGCCUUCGGGUUGUAAAGCUCUUUCGGACGGAAAGAAAUCGCACGGAUAAAUAGUCCGUGUGGAUGACGGUACCGUAAGAAGAAGCACCGGCUAACUACGUGCCAGCAGCCGCGGUAAUACGUAGGGUGCGAGCGUUAAUCGGAAUUACUGGGCGUAAAGCGUGCGCAGGCGGUUGCAUAAGACAGAUGUGAAAUCCCCGGGCUCAACCUGGGAACUGCGUUUGUGACUGUGCGACUGGAGUACGGUAGAGGGGGGUGGAAUUCCUGGUGUAGCAGUGAAAUGCGUAGA
rnacentral:rRNA from 1 species